UUAGAGUCUCCUGAAGGAACGUUGAAGACGACGACGUUGAUAGGCCGGGUGUGUAAGCGCAGCGAUGCGUUGAGCUAACCGGUACUAAUGAACCGUGAGGCUUAACCUUAC
rnacentral:rRNA from 1 species